UACGUAGGGGGCUAGCGUUGUCCGGAAUCAUUGGGCGUAAAGCGCGUGUAGGCGGUCCGGUAAGUCCGCUGUGAAAGUCGGGGGCUCAACCCUCGAAUGCCGGUGGAUACUGUCGGGCUAGAGUGCGGAAGAGGCGAGUGGAAUUCCUGGUGUAGCGGUGAAAUGCGCAGAUAUCAGGAGGAACACCAAUUGCGAAGGCAGCUCGCUGGGACGUUACUGACGCUGAGAUACGAAAGCCAAGGUAGCAAACAGG
rnacentral:rRNA from 1 species